CUUAAGGUAACCCUCUUCCUUCAACUUCAGCAACUUAAUUUUUUGUUCUUGAUGGUGUGAGCUUUGGAGCUUCUGACUUUGCAUACACUGCAUAUUCAAUCAUAUGGAAGCAGAAUAUUUUGGUGUUCCAUUGCCAAACAUAUCAAAAUAUUCCAUUGCCAAACAUAUUGACAAUGGAAUAGAUAAAAACUCUGGUCAACAACUCUGGUCAACUCUCCAUUGCUCUUUCAUUCCUUUCAGAUGAGAAUUCUGGAGCAUUGGACUCUGCUUAUGUUCUUGCUCAAGAUCAGUAUGGUUUUGUUUUUUUUACACGCAGCCUAAUAUAUAGGCAUUGAUUUCCAGGAACCAUACCUUGAAGAAGCACAUCUUGACGUUGUGAAUGGAAGUAUAAAGAGUUAUCCAAGCAAUGGGAUCAACUUUGCUAGUGCUGGCAGUGGUGUUUUCCCACAAAUUUUCCCCCAAAUUCAAGAUUCAAGAUGUGGAGUUCUUAUAUUGUGUUGAUUUAAUUAAAUGUGAUGUAUUAUUAUUUAUUUUGUUUGUAAAUUUAUGUUUUGUAAAUUUUGUUCUUAU